GGGCCUCUAGCUGAGUUGGUUAGGUGGGUGGGUAGCAUUCCUUAGGUCCUGAGUUCAAAUCUCAGUAGGAGCG
rnacentral:tRNA from 7 species